rnacentral:rRNA from 1 species
CGCUUUUAGAAUAAAAAUUAAAGGUUUAAUCUGCCCAAUGAUUAUUUAAUGGCCGCGGUAAACUGACCGUGCAAAGGUAGCAUAAUAAUUAGUCUUUUAAUUGAAGGCUUGCAUGAAUGAUUGAAUGAAAAAUUAACUUUAUUAAUAAAAUUAUUAAAACUUAAUUUUUAAGUUAAAAGGCUUAAAUAUUUAAGUUGGACGAGAAGACCCUAUAGAAUUUGAAAAUGUUAAUUUUUAAUUUAAUUUAAGUAUUAUAUAAUUUAAAUAAAAAAUUUCUUUUUUUUGUUGGGGUGACAUUAAAAAAUAUAUAACUUUUAAUAUAUAUAACAUAUAUAUAUGUAAAUAUUGAUCCAAUAUUGUAAUAUUGAUUUUAAGAAUAAAUUACCUUAGGGAUAACAGCGUUAUUAUUUUUUAGAGUUCAUAUUAAUAAAAUAGUUUGCGACCUCGAUGUUGGAUUAAGAAUAUAAUUUGGAGCAAAAUCUAAAAUUUUAGGUCUGUUCGACCUUUAAAUUCUU